UACGGAGGAUCCAAGCGUUAUCCGGAUUUAUUGGGUUUAAAGGGUGCGUAGGCGGAUUGAUAAGUUAGAGGUGAAAUGUCCGAGCUCAACUCGGGAACUGCCUCUAAUACUGUAUGACUAGAGAAUAGAUGCGGUAGGCGGAAUGUAUGGUGUAGCGGUGAAAUGCGUAGAGAUCAUACAGAACACCGAUUGCGAAGGCAGCUUACCAAACUAUAUCUGACGUUGAGGCACGAAAGCGUGGGGAGCAAACAGG
rnacentral:rRNA from 1 species